ACUGCUAUUAUUUUUACUUCUGUAUUAGUGUAUGUUGAUAUUUCUACAUUAUUUCUAUGAUAUUUCUAGUGUAGUCUUUAAGUUGGUCAGGGCUCCUGAGGUCUGUUAACACUUUCAGUUAUCCCUGUUUGUGGCUUCUUUCUUACCAUCAUCUUUCUGUCCCUUCCUAGCAUUGCACUCUCUUUAUCUCUGCCUUCUUUUCCUUUACUGGAUGCUUUGUUGACUAAAAACACAGAACAAUCUCCAGUUACUACAGAAUUGACACUGCAGAUGUGUGUUCGCUUAAAAAAGCCUCAGAUGUUAGGUUUAAUUGAAUAGAUUUGGAAACACCAUUGCUGGCACGUCAAAGUGUGAGUUCAGCUGGACUGCUGGUUCUGGCUCAUUUACCCUUUUUCAGUACACCUGAAGGGCAAGGUGAGAAUGCAGUCUGGCUCACAAGAUGAAAUGUGUGCACCUUGUGUGAGUAUCUGCUAUAUAUUAGCUCGUGUUAGAAAGCCAUCAUGUAGCUGAGUAUCUCUUAGAAGCAGCAGCUCAUUGGUUUUGGUUUUAGGUAUCAUAGCUUGUUGCCUUUUAUUUCUUAUCCCAUCUCCCACAAAGAUUUAUCUACUCUGUUUAUUGAUACAUCAAAGCUGUAUGCUAUGCAGCUACCCAUCCCUUUGUUGAAUGCUGAUGAGAAACAUUCCUUUUUCCCGAAGGCUUCAUAUAAAUCAAACAAGACAAAUGCAAGAUGAGGUGCUGGACAGCUGCUCACCAGAGAUGAAAGAAUAGAUGUGUGACCAUAGCACAGCAUGUGUGGAAAUAAAGGGUACCUUCAAAUUCCUGGGCUAUGCAGCAGAACAGGAGCUUUCAGUGCUUUUAAGUUCUUCUAGAUUCUUCAGAUAUCUCCUAAUGUAAAUACACAGUACAUGAAAUACAUUUUCUGGAAGCACAGGCCACAGAAUCAUUAUUUCAGUGGAAAAUUUUAGGAAACAGAUAUCAAGAAGCGUUGGGACAUCCAGCCUGGUAAGCUGGUGAAAAUUUGUUUCAGAAUUUUUUUUAAAGAAGCAUAUUAGUUGAUAGUUGACACCCUCAAAUGUCUCCAAUCCCUCUUAUUUUCUCCUUUACUCCUUUGGGAGGUAGCUUGUUCUUUUUAAGUUUUAGAAGUUCUUUCUAAAAGGUAUUUUUGCCUUUGAGCUAGCUCUCUUUUGUCUUUCCUAUCUCUUCCAUAGCAUUGUGUCAAAUACAGCUACUUUUUGCAAAAAGUUUAAUAAACAGCAUUUUCGCUUAUAUAUAGAUUGGAAGCUUUGAGGAGUUACAAGCUACCUAACUGACCAGAAUAAAAAUUUUAUUUUGCCUGAGAAUACCCUCUUUUUAAAUGGAAGCUGUUUUACAAAAAUAAAUAUGAAUGUGAGACUUGUAUUUCACUUAUUUUAUUCCAUGAUGAGGGAUUUCAGGAAGGCUGGAAAGGGAGUCAGGGCUUCAUAACACUGGUG